rnacentral:snRNA from 1 species
AUAGACUUUGGCCUUUUGGCUAAGAUCAAGUGUAGUAUCUGUUCUUAUCAGUUGAACGCUUUUCUAAGUUUUAGAUUCCUGUAUUGAGAAUUCUCUAUUUAGUUCUGCAUCCCACUUUUU